GACGAACGCUGGCGGCGUGCUUAACACAUGCAAGUCGAGCGGUAAGGCCCUUUCGGGGGUACACGAGCGGCGAACGGGUGAGUAACACGUGGGUGACCUGCCCUCAGCUCUGGGAUAAGCCUGGGAAACCGGGUCUAAUACUGGAUAUGACUCCAUGACGCAUGUUGUGGGGUGAAAGCCUUGUGCGGCUGAGGAUGGGCCCGCGGCCUAUCAGCUUGUUGGUGGGGUGANGGCCUACCAAGGCGACGACGGGUAGCCGGCCUGAGAGGGCGACCGGCCACACUGGGACUGAGACACGGCCCAGACUCCUACGGGAGGCAGCAGUGGGGAAUCUUGCGCAAUGGGCGAAAGCCUGACGCAGCGACGCCGCGUGAGGGAUGACGGCC
rnacentral:rRNA from 1 species